ACGGGGGCGGGGUGCUAUACAUGCAAGUCGAGCGAACUGAUUAGAAGCUUGCUUCUAUGACGUUAGCGGCGGACGGGUGAGUAACACGUGGGCAACCUGCCUGUAAGACUGGGAUAACUCCGGGAAACCGGAGCUAAUACCGGAUAACAUUUUCUCUUGCAUAAGAGAAAAUUGAAAGAUGGUUUCGGCUAUCACUUACAGAUGGGCCCGCGGUGCAUUAGCUAGUUGGUGAGGUAACGGCUCACCAAGGCAACGAUGCAUAGCCGACCUGAGAGGGUGAUCGGCCACACUGGGACUGAGACACGGCCCAGACUCCUACGGGAGGCAGCAGUAGGGAAUCUUCCGCAAUGGACGAAAGUCUGACGGAGCAACGCCGCGUGAGUGAUGAAGGCUUUCGGGUCGUAAAACUCUGUUGUUAGGGAAGAACAAGUACAAGAGUAACUGCUUGUACCUUGACGGUACCUAACCAGAAAGCCACGGCUAACUACGUGCCAGCAGCCGCGGUAAU
rnacentral:rRNA from 2 species